AAUAUUGGGCAAUGGGCGAAAGCCUGACCCAGCAACGCCGCGUGAGGGAAGAAUGUCUUCGGAUUGUAAACCUCUGUCCUUGGGGACGAAAAAAAUGACGGUACCCAAGGAGGAAGCUCCGGCUAACUACGUGCCAGCAGCCGCGGUAAUACGUAGGGAGCAAGCGUUGUCCGGAAUUAUUGGGCGUAAAGGGUGCGUAGGCGGUUUAUCAAGUCAGAUGUGAAAUACCCAGGCUUAACUUGGGAGGUGCAUUUGAAACUGAUGAACUUGAGUAAAGAAGAGGUAAGUGGAAUUCCUAGUGUAGCGGUGGAAUGCGUAGAUAUUAGGAGGAACACCAGUGGCGAAGGCGACCUACUGGUCUUUUACUGACGCUGAGGCACGAAAGCGUGGGGAGCGGGCAGGAUUAGAUACCCUGGUAGUCCACGCGGUC
rnacentral:rRNA from 1 species